UUAGUGCAAAGUGAAUCAUUCGAAUGCUCAGAAUGUAUUAUAUUUGUAAAUUCCAGCCAAUGCUGCUCUAACAUGAUACAAGAGAUCAACACUUUCAUCCAUAUGGAGUGCUAAUAUACUGAUAUUUGGGAUUUUUUAUCUUUGAAAUAGCUUUUAAUCCAACAAGAAAGAUGAAGGUUCGUGCCUGUUGAGUGUGGAGGAGUUAAAAGUAGGUGAGUUAAAAAAAAAUGUA